rnacentral:rRNA from 1 species
GAUAUCGCACAAUGGGGGAAACCCUGAUGCAGCGAUGCCGCGUGUAGGAAGACGGUCCUCUGGAUUGUAAACUACUGUCUUCAGGGACGAUAAUGACGGUACCUGAGGAGGAAGCUCCGGCUAACUACGUGCCAGCAGCCGCGGUAAUACGUAGGGAGCGAGCGUUGUCCGGAAUUACUGGGUGUAAAGGGAGCGUAGGCGGGGUUUUAAGUCCGUUGUGAAAUCUAUCGGCUCAACCGGUAGCUGCGGCGGAAACUGGGACUCUUGAGUGAAGUAGAGGCAGGCGGAAUUCCUAGUGUAGCGGUGAAAUGCGUAGAUAUUAGGAGGAACACCAGUGGCGAAGGCGGCCUGCUGGGCUUUUACUGACGCUGAGGCUCGAAAGUGUGGGGAGCAAACAGG